rnacentral:rRNA from 1 species
UACGUAGGGUGCAAGCGUUAUCCGGAAUUAUUGGGCGUAAAGAGCUCGUAGGCGGUUUGUCGCGUCUGCCGUGAAAGUCCGGGGCUCAACUCCGGAUCUGCGGUGGGUACGGGCAGACUAGAGUGAUGUAGGGGAGACUGGAAUUCCCGGUGUAGCGGUGAAAUGCGCAGAGUAUCAGGAGGAACACCGAUGGCGAAGGCAGGUCUCUGGGCAUUAACUGACGCUGGAGGAAGCGAAAGCCAUGGGGAGCGAACAGG